CAGAAGUUCCCGGCAAAUUUGAGGGGAAAGAAGAAUUAUAACUCAGUGAAAACGGAAGACACGCGCGAGAUGAGACAUUCCCCGUUACCCUUCUGGUUAAGAUUUCAAACUUUUGCACACUAAUUUCUGUGUUUGGCAAUUACAGGAAAAGAUAUCGCCGAAGAUUCUCUCUACAGCUGCUGUUUCAGAGUCUAAAUAUCUGAAUGCCCACGUAUCAUUUUAAAUAUGCACGUCCUAAACAUUUUACUCCCCCUUCCGUUCCGAUUAAUAACAAAUGACCAGGGCUACUACACCGGGCAGAGGGGACUGGGCAAAAAUCUGCACCGUUCCGCAUCUUCUCGGAGCGAGUCACUCACUUUCCAGCUAGUGUCAUGCGCUGACGGGCCGGAUCGUCUGCCUGAGAUAAGACCGCUUCAUUCCCCAAGUGAAAAAUAUGCUGUUGAGAACCAGUACAUCUUCCUAAGGCCUUGUCUCUCCUGACUGAUAGUAGAAGAGCAGUGUAACAUGUACUGUGCAGUGGGAUUCAGCCGGUUCUUUCCGGAUUGCGCGAAGCAGUAGUGGCAACUACGGGAGGCUCUGCUCACCCGUCCAGAUGUAAUGCACGACUACUGCGCAUGCACAGAAGGCCAUGUGCAUGCACAUAGGUGGAGCAUACAAGCAAAGUGUGCAUGCGCUCUCACAUUUGCAAACCAGUAGGGAAGAGAUGGCCUUCAAAAGAACUUGAAAGAACAAGACAGAUGAGAAGUGGCGUGAUAUCAAUCUUGGCAUAAGCCCUAUGGAACAGUACACCAGCAUUCAGAAAUUCAGGUGCCCUCGACCUGCUGAUGUUUCAAAAUACACUGAGGAUUUCAGUCUUGUCCUGGGAAUUAGGCCAGGUUAUUGGCCUUUGGAAAGAAGCAAAGACAAACCCACUUCUAAAAAAUCUUGGCAGGAAAACUGCACCCAAACAUUUUCCAGGAGUCAAAAACUGAUUUUAAAAAACAAACAAACAAACAACCAUCCAUGCUUCUUACAUGCUGUUUGAAGGGGUCUCCAAUCUCUUUUUUAAAAACUUGAGCAGCCCAAAGAAAGAAGAAAGAACCAUAAAACUCACAUCUUCCCUCCCCCUCCCCCAGUUCCCAAUUCUAAGAGCCAGAAAUGGUUCUUGGCAGCACUCAAAAAAUCUCCGGAUGCACUCACAAAGUAUUGGAAAACAAAAUGAGAUAAAUAACAAUCAUUUUCUGAUAGUCAUAUCCUCUUUCCUGUCUUCCUUUUUCCCCUUUGAAAGUGAAGAGUUUCAUUUAGAUUUGGCCUUUCAUUUACAGUGCUCAUGUGUACAAUCUCUGGACAAUAUAUGUAUAUAGUAUAUACUUAUUUCAUAUAUGUUUUCUGAGGUUUCAUAUUUCAUAUACUUUAAACAAUUUCCUGUGCAAUUUAUAAUAUACAAAAUACAGUGAAAUGAUUAACAAUUGCAACUCUAUAAAACAUUGCUCAGUAAGUAGUUGUGUGUGUAGGGGAAUGAAACAAAAGCAAAAAAUGAAGUUAUCCAGCAUUCACGCAGGUAAGCUAAGGCCCAAGGAAGAGUGUAGAAAAGAGCAACAAAUAUGUUAAAGGGUCUAAGCUCUAGACACAGCCAAAAGGCACCAAGUAUGUUUAGCUUAAUGAAGAAAAGACUGAGAGGUCUUAGCAAUAUUCCAAUACUUGAAGGGCUGCCACAGGGAAGGUAAUAGGGCCUUUGAGCAGCUUACAACGUUGUAAAACCAAAAAUACAAAACAUUAAAGCAUUAAAUAUCAAAAACUAACAGAAAUUAAAUAAAUUAGGAAACAGAAUGUAAAAAUAUAGAAGAAGGAUCUUCUUCCUAGUCACUAACUAUCUUCAAUGUGGAAUGCCCUCCACAUCAGGGCCUGAGUGCAAUUGAUAGAGCCAGGAUUUGAGACUCUGUUGGAAGGCCAAAAAACUGGGGUCAGAUCUCACCUUGAAUGGCACAAUGUUCCAGGAGGCAAGAGUCAUGGCACAAAGGAUCCUUCUCCUGGACAUCACUGGCCAGAACUCUUAACCAAGAGGGUCCACAGCAGAUAACUUCUUCUGGAACAAGUACUACAGGCCAGUCCCAUUGAGGCAAGACAGUUCCCCAGAUAGCCUGGACUAUGCCAUAAAGGACUUCAUAGAUAAUAACCGGUGCCUUUAAUUGGAUCCAGAAGCAAACCAGCAACCAGCGCAGUUUGCACAAUAGUGGAGUUACAUAGGCAUCCUAGGGGUACUACAACUGUCAGCAUGACUGCAAACUGCAUCAAAAUACUCUUCAAGGGAAGUCCUAUGAAGAACAUCAUGAUAAAUUUGGAGCACUGAUACUGGA